rnacentral:rRNA from 1 species
GAUGAACGCUGGCCCUUUGCCUAAUACAUGCAAGUCGAGCGAACGGACGAGAAGCUUGCUUCUCUGAUGUUAGCGGCGGACGGGUGAGUAACACGUGGAUAACCUACCUAUAAGACUGGGAUAACUUCGGGAAACCGGAGCUAAUACCGGAUAAUAUUUUGAACCGCAUGGUUCAAAAGUGAAAGACGGUCUUGCUGUCACUUAUAGAUGGAUCCGCGCUGCAUUAGCUAGUUGGUAAGGUAACGGCUUACCAAGGCAACGAUGCAUAGCCGACCUGAGAGGGUGAUCGGCCACACUGGAACUGAGACACGGUCCAGACUCCUACGGGAGGCAGCAGUAGGGAAUCUUCCGCAAUGGGCGAAAGCCUGACGGAGCAACGCCGCGUGAGUGAUGAAGGUCUUCGGAUCGUAAAACUCUGUUAUUAGGGAAGAACAUAUGUGUAAGUAACUGUGCACAUCUUGACGGUACCUAAUCAGAAAGCCACGGCUAACUACGUGCCAGCAGCCGCGGUAAUACGUAGGUGGCAAGCGUUAUCCGGAAUUAUUGGGCGUAAAGCGCGCGUAGGCGGUUUUUUAAGUCUGAUGUGAAAGCCCACGGCUCAACCGUGGAGGGUCAUUGGAAACUGGAAAACUUGAGUGCAGAAGAGGAAAGUGGAAUUCCAUGUGUAGCGGUGAAAUGCGCAGAGAUAUGGAGGAACACCAGUGGCGAAGGCGACUUUCUGGUCUGUAACUGACGCUGAUGUGCGAAAGCGUGGGGAUCAAACAGGAUUAGAUACCCUGGUAGUCCACGCCGUAAACGAUGAGUGCUAAGUGUUAGGGGGUUUCCGCCCCUUAGUGCUGCAGCUAACGCAUUAAGCACUCCGCCUGGGGAGUACGACCGCAAGGUUGAAACUCAAAGGAAUUGACGGGGACCCGCGCAAGCGGUGGAGCAUGUGGUUUAAUUCGAAGCAACGCGAAGAACCUUACCAAAUCUUGACAUCCUUUGACAACUCUAGAGAUAGAGCCUUCCCCUUCGGGGGACAAAGUGACAGGUGGUGCAUGGUUGUCGUCAGCUCGUGUCGUGAGAUGUUGGGUUAAGUCCCGCAACGAGCGCAACCCUUAAGCUUAGUUGCCAUCAUUAAGUUGGGCACUCUAAGUUGACUGCCGGUGACAAACCGGAGGAAGGUGGGGAUGACGUCAAAUCAUCAUGCCCCUUAUGAUUUGGGCUACACACGUGCUACAAUGGACAAUACAAAGGGCAGCGAAACCGCGAGGUCAAGCAAAUCCCAUAAAGUUGUUCUCAGUUCGGAUUGUAGUCUGCAACUCGACUACAUGAAGCUGGAAUCGCUAGUAAUCGUAGAUCAGCAUGCUACGGUGAAUACGUUCCCGGGUCU